GAUGAACGCUGGCGGCGUGCUUAACACAUGCAAGUCGAACGAUGAAGCCCAGCUUGCUGGGUGGAUUAGUGGCGAACGGGUGAGUAACACGUGAGUAACCUGCCCUUAACUCUGGGAUAAGCCUGGGAAACUGGGUCUAAUACCGGAUAGGAGCGUCCACCGCAUGGUGGGUGUUGGAAAGAUUUAUCGGUUUUGGAUGGACUCGCGGCCUAUCAGCUUGUUGGUGAGGUAAUGGCUCACCAAGGCGACGACGGGUAGCCGGCCUGAGAGGGUGACCGGCCACACUGGGACUGAGACACGGCCCAGACGCCUACGGGAGGCAGCAGUGGGGAAUAUUGCACAAUGGGCGCAAGCCUGAUGCAGCGACGCCGCGUGAGGGAAGACGGCCUUCGGGUUGUAAACCUCUUUCAGUAGGGAAGAAGCGAAAGUGACGGUACCUGCAGAAGAAGCACCGGCUAACUACGUG
rnacentral:rRNA from 1 species